AACGAACGCUGGCGGCAGGCUUAACACAUGCAAGUCGAACGCCCCGCAAGGGGUGUGGCAGACGGGCGAGUAACGCGUGGGAACGUGCCCUUCGCUUCGGCAUAGUCCCGGGAAACUAGGUUUAAUACCGGAUACGCCGUAUUGGGAAAGCUUUAUCGGCGAAGGAUCGGCCCGCGGUGGAUUAGCUAGUUGGCGGUGUAACCGACCACCAUGGCGACGAUCCAUAGCUGGUCUGAGAGGAUGAUCAGCCACACUGGGACUGGCACACGGCCCAGACUCCUACGGGAGGCAGCAGUGGGGAAUCUUGGACAAUGGGCGCAAGCCUGAUCCAGCCAUGCCGCGUGAGUGAAGAAGGCCUUAGGGUUGUAAAACUCUUUCGCCGGUGAAGAUAAUGACGGUAACCGGAGAAGAAGCCCCGGCUAACUGCGUGCCAGCAGCCGCCGUAAUAC
rnacentral:rRNA from 1 species